AUCUAUAUAGCUUAUAUUAGAGUUUGAUAUUGAAGAUAUUAAGGAAGUAUUUAAAUACUUAUAGAUA
rnacentral:tRNA from 1 species